GUGGAAGAAUCACGGACUAGCGUUUAAUCUCUCUGGUCUUCUCGAUGUGGGACUGAACCGUUUGAUGUAGUGUUGUGUCCUAUUGUGUUGUGCAAUACAUGGACUAGAGCAAUAAUGGCACAGUACAUGCCACUGGACAACCAACCCGAGGUUCCAAACCACGUGAAUGAUGAACGUGCCUGAGUGAGCGGAAUGAUGAUCCAUCUAUUUAUUCCUCGUUAAAGGCUCAAGGUGACAUGUUCUUUUAACCGUUUUGGCCCUUGAUGCCUCUGUAUCUCUGUAACUCCUUUACUAAAUAGUGUGUUUGCUGAAACUUGAUGUCUUUUACUUUAAAUGGCUUAUACUUUUUUUACUCGAAUGUCUUUUACUUAUGUUCAUGGGACUUAUGUAAUAGGGAAAACUUGAUUUAGCUUUGGAGAUUUAGAAAAGAAAGAUGAUAGAAUCUAAAGUUCA